rnacentral:rRNA from 1 species
GACGAACGCUGGCGGCGUGCUUAACACAUGCAAGUCGAACGGAAAGGCCCUGCUUUUGUGGGGUGCUCGAGUGGCGAACGGGUGAGUAACACGUGAGUAACCUGCCCUUGACUUUGGGAUAACUUCAGGAAACUGGGGCUAAUACCGGAUAGGAGCUCCUGCUGCAUGGUGGGGGUUGGAAAGUUUCGGCGGUUGGGGAUGGACUCGCGGCUUAUCAGCUUGUUGGUGGGGUAGUGGCUUACCAAGGCUUUGACGGGUAGCCGGCCUGAGAGGGUGACCGGCCACAUUGGGACUGAGAUACGGCCCAGACUCCUACGGGAGGCAGCAGUGGGGAAUAGUGCACAAUGGGCUGAAGCCUGAUGCAGCAACGCCGCGUGCGGGAUGACGGCCUUCGGGUUGUAAACCACUUUCGCCUGUGACGAAGCGUGAGUGACGGUAAUGGGUAAAGAAGCACCGGCUAACUACGUG